rnacentral:lncRNA from 1 species
CCUCUCCUUGUCUGUGCACGGAUGGCUGGAUGACUCUGGAGCCCAGGCUGUUGCUUCCCAGUCUGGUGGUGAACCCUCCAUAGUCCAAUGAGUGUGUUGUCCAACUCUGGAGCCCAGCCUGUUGCUUCCUGGUCUGGUGGUGAGAGGCCGACUCUGGAGCCCAGGUUGUUUCUUCCCAGUCUGGCGGUGAAUCCUCCAUAGCCUGGGAAUAACCUAUCUACUAACGGUCAGCACCUGUGUCUUUGUGUCUGAGGCCAAGAAUAAAUUCAUCAGCUGGGUAGCCACUGCUGCAACUGAAGCCAUCCACAGUCAAUGUUGGCUAUAUGUUGAGUUACCGGAGGCUGCCUGGGAUGGGCUAUCUUGAAGAAUCGUCCCUGACAACAUUUCUGAAUGGCUAUAUUGUUACCAGUGUGGCCACAACAACAACACUUGCAAUCCAACCUGGGCUUCCUUUCACCACACUAAGCAAUCUAUCUUUGCCAGGUCAGACAAAAGAUGAACUCCACCCUCACCUUGCAUCAAAAGUCUUGAUAUCUUGCCCAAUAAUCCUAGAAUGGAAUACACUGAAAACCUGCUGUGCUGGUGGCCGGAUUCCAUACAGGCUUCGCUUUGUCUGGAGGCCUUAAAUGGCUCCUCUAAUGUUUCUUUGGGGUUUCUUCAGACAUUUGUCAACACAUACUCCAAAUCAACAACACUGCCCCCAAUGUACCACAAUCUCUUUCCUAUUUUAAUAACACAUUAGUACACUAUGAUUACAGUAGCUCCAUUGCUGUCCCCUGGGGGGCCCUCUGGGUAUGCAGAUCCUAUGGGUUGCAAUACUGUCCCUGCAUUGGAUGGGAAGAUGCACUUGGGGGUGGACAUUAAUUCCAUUCACUAUCCAGGAUAAUACUCCCUUCCCCAGUAAUCUAGAUGCUUACAAACACCACUGGUUACAAAUGUGCUGGACUCCCUGGUGGUGGUACCCUAUCACAGUAUUCUCCCCUGCCACCAGUACAUUCCUCCUUCACCAACACAUUAAAAUAUUUACCUUACAUGUAGAAAAAGCUCUUAAUGAUAGUAGCACUGAACUUGUGUUGUUAUCAGAUGAAUUUGCUCAUCUGAGUACUGUUGUGUUGCAAAAUCAAAUGGCAUUAAAA